rnacentral:lncRNA from 1 species
GGUCCUAAAGUAGAUAAAACCUAAGUUGCAAUUCCGGUUUUCCUCAAAAUCUAAGACAUGUCACAAAAUAAUUUACUGCCUUUGUUGAUCUCGCUCCUGUAACAAGCUUCCUGCCUCACGUAUCUCCCGCCUUAAAGAGUUUAAAAGGCAAUCACCCAAAACCAACCGUGGCUACCCAUUCAAGACUGUUUCCACACUGUGGAAGCUUUGUACUUUCACUCUGCUCAAUAAAGCCUGCAGCUUUUUCUCACUCUCAGUCCAUGUCUCUUUCACUCACUGUGGUCAGCUUCCACACCAUUUCUUUGGUGUGGCUUGGCAAGAACCUCAGGUGUUACAUCUUGGCGAGCCAGACAGGAGACUCCAGAAAAGGGGUGAUUUUCCUGUACCAGUCCAAUGCCUCCAGAGGAAGAUCAUACAUUUGCCAUUUUACUGCUUAGUACGCAUGCUUGAGCCUGCUCGCCCAACUGCUGAGAUCUUAUUCAGAAACUGCUGAUCACCAACUCCAGGUGUUUUUAUUACACAAGACAAAAACGGAAAAACAGUAACAAAUGAUUGGUUAAGCCUUUCAAAACAAAGAAGUGUAUGUGCUACAGUAUAUUUAGACCUAUUAUUCUUAAUCUUCUAAGUGGAACAUAAAAUCUUAAUGUCUAAUACAAAAAUACUAAGAAUAUCUGGUAAAGGAAACAAAAAAUAAGUUAUUUCCUUAAGGGACUACAGAGGGUACAGAAGUAACUUUUUGUCCUUUUGUUUGCAUAUUUUCAUACAAAGGGUUCUCAUCUAUUAAUUCCAUUCUGAAAGAUAAACAGCACACCAGCUAUCCUUAGCAUUCUAUAUAUAAGAAACUUCAGACUAAGCUGAGUGUGGUGGCUCAUACCUAUAAUCCCAGCACUUUGGAAGGCUGAGGUAAGCAGAUAACUUGAGCCCAAGAGUUUGAUACCAGCCUGGGAAACAUGGAGAAAACCCAUCUCUACAAAGAAUACAAAAAUUAGCUGGAUGUGGGUGGUGUGCACCUGUAGUCCCAGCUGCUCAGGAGCCUGAGGUGGGAGGAUCACUUGAGCCUGGGAAGUGGAGCCUGCAGUGAGCUGUGAUCAUACCGCUGCACGCCAGGAUCAAUUACAGAAUGAGACCAUGUCUCAAAAAAAAAAAAAUAAAUAAAUAAGGUAAGGUUUAGCAGGUUAGGUAAAAUAUAUUUUAUGUGAGAAAGUUAAAUAAUCUACCCCAAAUCAUAAAACUACAGAAUGGCAAAUACGAAAUGUAGAACUAAAUUAUUAACUCCAAACCCAGAGCCUUCCCUCAAAAUUCUGGCUAGAAAUGGCAAUGCUUAGAUGAAUAACUUCUGUUUCCUCUUCAAACAUUAAUAUUCCAGUAUGCCUGGAGUGGGAGGAACAUUACACUAUACUUCUUUCUCCUCCUUCAUUAGUGAAGGUCACUGGAAUAGGUUCAUUACACUCAAGCAAAGGCCUGGGGAAAUGAUAGAAUUACCUCUGUUGACCCAGAAGAGCACCAAAAGCACCAGUGUGCAGAAAUCAGAGACCUCAAGCUAAAAGUCAUAAAAGGACAAGAACCUGGAAGUCGUCGAACUGUGGAAGCAAAAGACCUGUAAUGCUCCUGCUUGCCGAGCUGUGAGCAGUGGUAGUAAAAGAGCAGUAACAUUCUCUCCUGCUUGCCAAACAGGAGAGAAGCCACUGGCACCACUCCCUCCCACUCACUGAACUAUAGAAGAGAAAAAAUUGAAACACCAAAAUUGGGGAAAUGCGACUUUUGCGAAAAUUUGAAAGUGCAUGCUUCACAGAAGGAAGGGGGAGCUGGUCUAUUAUGUCUCACUAUAACAAGACUAAAAUUUUGCAAAUAAAUUGUUCCUGCCAUAAUUUAUCCUUGGUAGAAAUGAAGAAAUUGGAGAGAGAAAAAAUUGGAUUCUAGGUCCUGACCAUUGUUUUUGAAUUUUUAUUAUUUUCCUACAAUUUAGGCUAAAUUCUGAACUAUUUGCUGGCUACAAGAGGCCUCUAAAAAAGAGCUGGGUUUUAGUUUUCUUCAUGCUCUUUAAAAACUGGCAUAUAAUGGUGUGUAUCUCUCGUUGUUUUACUUCUAAGAAACUGAAGGCAUGAUAUUCUGAAGACUAGAGGUGAUUCAAUAGCCUAUGAAUCUUCUUCAUUUGGAACCCCACUGGGCCUGAUCUGUUUCCCAUCACCAAUGCACUUCUGCUAAACCUAUAUCCUAUCAAGUACUCUCCCUAAAUGCUCAGAGACCAUAACAGAAGAUGAGGGUGUGUGAGAUUAUAAAAGCCAAAUUAGUGGAGUGGAAUCUGGAGGCUAAAGCAACUCCAUCUUGGAUGCUAAUCUGCCAUGUUGGCUUCUGAUUAACCCCAGUUCUGGAGGGCCUCUGAGGUUUCCAAUUUAUCUACUGUCCCUUGUGUAAGAACAAGUACUUAUCAUAAAUCCUGCUAUUAGGGCAAAUUUCUACCCAUUCCCUCUGAAGCAUGUGCACCUCUCCUCUACAUGUAAUCUCCCCUACAAUAGAUAAACCCCUCUGGGUCUGGGGGCUAAUAGUGUGGGAACCCAUCAUCUUGCCUCACUGCUGCACAAGCCACAGGUGUGGCUUCUGUUUCUAAGUCCCUAUUAAAUGUUUCUAGAUACCAGAUGUAUCAACCUCUUUCUUCAGCCUCUCAGCUUCCUGGGACUUUGGGGUUGGUUUGCAUAGACCUACCCACCAAAAAACUCUCACAGAGUCAGUCUUAAAUACAUACAGAGCACGGUUGGGAAAAUUCCAUGAAUAUUUAUAGGGGAAGUCAUGUGCUUGAAAAUUGGAUAAACUUGUAUGUAACAUACAUUCCAUUUUGACCUGGGGGUGAGGUUUCAGCUGGGAUUCGACUGUUUAUGUCAAAAGGUAAACUCUAGGGCAAAAAGAAUUUGGACAUAGUCUCUGCAAGCUGACUGAAACUGGCUUAAGAUCUAUGGUCACUUAUCAAUAAAGAAUGUGAUAAAAACGGUCUUUGUCCAAUCAGAGUGCUGGCAGGACCACAAGGCAAGG